GUGUUCUUUGGCAACACAUUCUAACCUUGGAGUGAUACAGAGAUCAGCAUGGCUGCUGGGCAAGGAUGGCACACACAUUCACGAAGCGUUCCAUGUUUUU
ensembl:snRNA U6 U6 spliceosomal RNA